UCCAGACUCCUACGGGAGGCAGCAGUGGGGGAUAUUGCACAAUGGGGGGAACCCUGAUGCAGCGACGCCGCGUGGGUGGAGGAGUGCUUCGGCAUGUAAAGCCCUAUCGGCAGGGAAGAAGCAAGACGGUACCUGACUAAGAAGCCCCGGCUAACUACGUGCCAGCAGCCGCGGUAAUACGUAGGGGGCAAGCGUUAUCCGGAUUUACUGGGUGUAAAGGGGGCGCAGACGGCGAUGCAAGCCGGCGGUCAAAUCGCGGGGCUCAACCCCGCCCAGCCGUCGGAACUGCCGGGCUAGAGUGGGCGAGAAGUGCGCGGAAUGCGUGGUGUAGCGGUGAAAUGCAUAGAUAUCACGCAGAACUCCGAUUGCGAAGGCAGCGCACCGGCGCCCUACUGACGCUCAGGCACGAAAGCGUGGGUAUCGAACAGGAUUAGAUACCCUCGUAGAA
rnacentral:rRNA from 1 species